GCAGCUCGAAGCGGAGGGAGGCAGUCGCAAGGCUGGCCUGGUACCAGGAAGCACCAACAGGGUGAGCAAGUUGUGACAGAGAACCACAGGAUAAAUGGUGUCAGAGACUCUUCACCUUUCACUGUUACUGUGUUACUGUUUUAAGGUAGGUCUUGCUAUAAUGGCUCCAAGCUGACUGACCUCAGACCUUUAACCCACUGACCUGUUUCCCAAACGGUGUGCCACAACAUUCAACUCUUCAAUUUUAACCAGUUCCAUCUGUCACUCUAUUUUUCUUUGCUGGGGCUCCAACCCAGGGCCUUACACUUGUGAGUGUUCUACCACUGUGCUACACCCUCAGCCCUGCCACUAUUUUCACUAGUACAUUUCGACGAUUAUCUGUCAGCCUUUCUGUCCUUUCUACCUUCUGAUCCUAAUUUUACCUUCCACACAUAAGGAAUAUAACAGUCUGAACUAGAGGCUCUCCUGUAAUGGCACUACCUGAAAAGCGUUUACCAAGCUCCCACAUAAAAGGCUGGAUUCAAGGCGCUCCGUGGUCACGUGACCACUGACUUGUCAGUUGUGCCACCGCUGCUUCGUGUUCGCUAUCCCUACUCUACCGAACUGAACUGCUGAUAGAUUCAUGAAAUGUCUGAGUGGAUCAAGCUGCCACUGCUAGCCUGUGAAGUGAACUGCAGAUUUCCAGACAACAGACAAAAGCUACUCCAAAGAAUCUUUCUAAACAUGUCCACAUCCCCCGUAUCUUUCAUUUUCCACAACCUCUGGUGGGUGGUGGACUACAAGGGAGGUUAAAGUGUUUAAGAAUCAUCAUUAAAAAUAGGAUUUGAAAACAGUUACACAUGUUCGUGAGGACCAGAGGACUUUGGAGUUUUAGCCUUGGGACCUCAGGUUUGGUGCUCUAACUGUUGAACCAUCUCAUCAGCCUUCCAAUUUUAGGCCAAAAUUAUGUCAUUACCAUGGGACAAUUUUUAAAAGUUCCUUCUAGAUUUUCCGCUCCACGAGCUGUAGUUUCUUCAGGGUCACCUCUCUUCAGCAAGUGACUACAGAGCUAAAAGUGGGUACCAAGUCUACACUACAACAAUGAUACUUUAUUCACGGAUAUGUAACAAUUUACAUAUUUAGUCCAGGAAGUAGCUUGUCUAAUAUGCAGUUUUUCUUUGUCCCACCCCUACCCCCAAACCCCCAUCCCCGCCCAAAACAAGGUUUCAGUUUCUCUAUUUAACCACCCUGACUGUUCUGGAACUCACUUUGCUAGCUAGGCAAACUCAAGAGAUCUGUCUACCUCUGCUGGGAUUUAAGGGGCAUACACCACCACUGGCCAGCAUGUGCACUAGUUUCUAUCACCAAAAAAACCUGGGGUAGUGGUACAUGUCCGCAAUUCCUGGACAACAUUGAAAGUGGAGGUAAACUCCACUAUAUCUCAAGAUGGUCAGCAUGGCAAUGGUGGCACACGCCUUUAAUCUCAGCACUUGGGAGGCAGAGGCAGGUAGAUUUCAGAGUUCUAGCUUG